rnacentral:misc_RNA from 1 species
AACGCACAUUGCGCCCUCUGGUAUUCCGGGGGGCAUGCCUGUUCGAGCGUCAUUACAACCCUCAAGCUAUGCUUGGUAUUAAGUCUCACCUGCAAGGGCGGGCUAUAAAAUCAGUGGCGGUGCCAUUCGGCUUCAAGCGUAGUAAUUUUCUCGCUUCAGAGGUCUGGUUGUGUACCUGCCAACAACCCCAAUAUUUUAUCAAAGGUUGACCUCGGAUCAGGUAGGGAUACCCGCUGAACUUAA